rnacentral:rRNA from 1 species
UACGAAGGGUGCAAGCGUUACUCGGAAUUACUGGGCGUAAAGCGUGCGUAGGUGGUUCGUUAAGUCUGUCGUGAAAGCCCCGGGCUCAACCUGGGAAUGGCGAUGGAUACUGGCGGGCUAGAGUGCGGUAGAGGAGAGUGGAAUUCCCGGUGUAGCAGUGAAAUGCGUAGAUAUGCGGAGGAACACCGAUGGCGAAGGCAAUCCCCUGGGCCUGCACUGACGCUCAUGCACGAAAGCGUGGGGAGCAAACAGG